AGUUGCCACAGCACCUGGGGCCUGAGGGCACUGGCAUCUUCUGAGGGGAAAUUCUGGCCAAAGCACCACCUCCUGGGGGGAACAUGUCUUUCUGUUUCUGAAGGAGACCCUUGAAACUGCUGAAUCUUCCCCUGGGAGUCUGGCAAGCUGUGGGUGAGAGACAGAGGCAAGAGCUUCCAUCAGCAGGAGGGAAAGCCGUGCCAAGGAAAAGGAAUCAAAUCUGGAUGCAGCAAGACUCACAUUCAGGCGGAGGCUCCCUGCCAGAUGCUACGAGGCCAAAUCGGAAACAACCACAUUGAGCUCAUUAUGAAAACUGCACAAUCAAAAGCCUGCAAAAAGGCAAAAAAAAAAAUUAAUCUGUUUAAUACUUAGCUAAAUUCUCGACUGUUGAACUAGAUUUGAAGAAAAAUUCAUCAUAAUCCCCUCUUCCUGUUGAGAAAUUCCUCCUUGUUCACGAGAUGUCCAUGAGAUGGCAGGAGUGCACUCUCCUGCAAAGGCUGAAGGGACCGUGACACCGGCGCAGUUUCCUCGCUCCGGAUAUGGGCACUGCUGAGAAAACACUGAUUUAUCUUUCUAUUUAUUGCUGCUGGAAAGAGCAUUCCCACAGUGACUGUUUCCUAUCACUUCCCAAUUGCCAAGAAAUCCCCUCCUGCUGCUGCAAGAAGCGUGACAGCUCCUAGCAACUGUCUCCUCAUGGCAGGUAAAAGCAAGGUAGGAGAGGAGCAGGUAUGUUUUCUUCUGGCAUGAGAUAUCAUGGGCAAUGUGGUCAUCUUGAGGGGUAUCAGGCUUUAGGAGGGUGGGUCUGUCCUAGCUUGGGGGAAUCAUGCCAUCAUCCUCUGGCUUCAGUUGUGCCAACCAGCACCCCAGAGUGCCACAUUAAGAUGAAUUAUAAACUGAACACCAAUUUCUUUUGUUCUUUAAAGCGGUUCUGAAGGGGCAGGUGCUGUUACCUGGCUCAGCUGAGAAAAUCGCUCGGCGCUGCAGCAGUUUGUGUCGUGAUUAUCAGCUCCCCAACUGGGAAAACAAUGGUUCAAUAGGGAAUUACAGAGGUGGAACAGAGUGAAGAUGGGCGGUGAUGGCUGAACACCAUGUGAAGAUCUCCACAGGCAGAAAUAUGGAAAUUAUAGCAUAUUUUCCACGAUGCAAAGGGCAGGAUUCCCGUGCAGUGUUGGCAUAUGCAGAGCAGCUGGGAAAGGUGGGGAUGGAACGUACCACGCUGUCACUUCUGGGGAAAGCAGCCAAAUGCACUGACAGUUCUCAUGUAGGCUGGCUCCAAACCAAAUGGCUUCCCAGCAGGAUUUCCAAAUUACUGCCUUGACCACCACAUGUGCUUCUUCCACGGUCUGAAAAUCCAUCUAUGUAAAUGAACAUUCCUUCACUGUACCAGGAUAAUUAAUUUCUGCCCUAAAGUGCUGCUUUCCAGUUCGCAUUUCUCUGGUCCCUGUGAGGAUCUUAACAAGGCUGAGAAGCCUCAGGCCUCACCCUGCCUGCAUCGAGAGCUGUUUAACUGCUUGUGACUUCUCUCCCAAACCUUGGAGGGGGCACCUCCACAGGCCAGAGCUUUGCAGAGCCCAUCCAAUUGCAUUGCAGGGAUGAAGGGCAUCCAAGGGCUUGCUUAAAGUGCUGCUGAAAUGUGGUCUCCUCUGGAAUGAAACACAAUCAUUGAUUAACAACAUGCACAAUUAGCCUUUUAAAGUCCAGCUUGAGGAGAAAUUGCAGACA